UGGCAGAUGUAAAUUAUGAUUGUCGAGCAAUAACAAAACUGGUCUUGAUGUGCUCGGUCUUAUAUAGUGAGAGAAACGUUAACGUUAACGCUGAAUAACCCAUUCUUUCCGCAAUAACAAUCCAAUCAUCGGCCUAUACUGACUGCGCCUAUACUGUAUCGAAGAUUUUAUCGAUCAAUCAUUCGGAGUUAGUCGUGGAUACAUCGAUUAAGUAUAAAAUAGUCAACAAAUUUCAAGCAGUACUUAGUUGAUGAUUUACGCCCUAGUACAUUUGAUAAAUUUCAAGAAAAAUGAUUUUUUUAACUACGUUAAUUUUGAUAGUACUCGCAUCGUUAUGUCAGGCUUUGUACACGGAGAAACAAGAACAGACACUGAAUGUUGUUGUAGGACAAUGUGCUGAGGAACUUGGCAUAGAUUUGAACAGUAAUUUCACGGAACAAUGGGAAUAUACCGGAGUCCUUUUUCCGGAUGAGGAGAAGUCGAAAAAUUUUGCCUUUUGUAUUCAUCGCACAUUAGGCGUGUUGGAUGCUAAUGGUAUGAUUAAAGCUCAAACGUGGAUCGACUUACUCCGAUGGCCACGAUGUUCAGGAAUUGCAAGAACUUCUUCAGCAAUGUAACAAGGGUGAAGGAGAUACCAACGAAGACAGAUUAUACAACUUCUACAAGUGCUUCUGGGUAGAAAAAACAUUGGAAUUGUGACGGACAGAUCAUAGCAGAAUUUUUAAAAUUAAAUGAAU